rnacentral:rRNA from 1 species
GACGAACGCUGGCGGCGUGCUUAACACAUGCAAGUCGAACGGAGUGGCGAACGGGUGAGUAACACGUGGGUGAGCUGCUCUGCACUUCGGGAUAAGCCUGGGAAACUGGGUCUAAUACAGGCUAGUGUGGGAUGGGCCCGCGGCCUAUCGGCUUGUUGGGGGGGUAACGGCAUACCAAGGCGGCGACGGGUUGCCGGCCUGGGAGCGUGGACGGCCUCAUUAGGCCUGAGGCACGGCCCAGAGUCCUACGGGGGGCAGCGGGGGGAAGUAUGACGCAGUGAGGUGAAGCGUAAUGCGGAGGCCCCGGGUGGGUAAUGUCGGCCUUCCGGUUAUAAAGUCAUUUAACCUUAGACGCGGUAGAUGGAGAAGAAGCACCGGCUAACUACGUGCCAGCAGCCGCGGUAAUAC